CUCACUUGUGGGGGGAUUAGUGGCGAACGGGUGAGUAACACGUGAGUAACCUGCCCUUGACUCUGGGAUAAGCCUGGGAAACCGGGUCUAAUACUGGAUACGACCUUCUGGCGCAUGCCAUGUUGGUGGAAAGCUUUUGUGGUUUUGGAUGGACUCGCGGCCUAUCAGCUUGUUGGUGGGGUAAUGGCCUACCAAGGCGACGACGGGUAGCCGGCCUGAGAGGGUGACCGGCCACACUGGGACUGAGACACGGCCCAGACUCCUACGGGAGGCAGCAGUGGGGAAUAUUGCACAAUGGGCGCAAGCCUGAUGCAGCGACGCCGCGUGAGGGAUGAAGGCCUUCGGGUUGUAAACCUCUUUCAGUAGGGAAGAAGCUGGCCUUUGGGUUGGUGACGGUACCUGCAGAAGAAGCGCCGGCUAACUACGUGCCAGCAGCCGCGGUAAUACGUAGGGCGCAAGCGUUAUCCGGAAUUAUUGGGCGUAAAGAGCUCGUAGGCGGUUUGUCGCGUCUGCCGUGAAAGUCCGGGGCUUAACUCCGGAUCUGCGGUGGGUACGGGCAGACUAGAGUGCAGUAGGGGAGACUGGAAUUCCUGGUGUAGCGGUGAAAUGCGCAGAUAUCAGGAGGAACACCGAUGGCGAAGGCAGGUCUCUGGGCUGUAACUGACGCUGAGGAGCGAAAGCAUGGGGAGCGAACAGGAUUAGAUACCCUGGUAGUCCAUGCCGUAAACGUUGGGCACUAGGUGUGGGGGACAUUCCACGUUUUCCGCGCCGUAGCUAACGCAUUAAGUGCCCCGCCUGGGGAGUACGGCCGCAAGGCUAAAACUCAAAGGAAUUGACGGGGGCCCGCACAAGCGGCGGAGCAUGCGGAUUAAUUCGAUGCAACGCGAAGAACCUUACCAAGGCUUGACAUGAACCGGAAUGAUGCAGAGAUGUGUCAGCCACUUGUGGCCGGUUUACAGGUGGUGCAUGGUUGUCGUCAGCUCGUGUCGUGAGAUGUUGGGUUAAGUCCCGCAACGAGCGCAACCCUCGUUCCAUGUUGCCAGCGGGUUAUGCCGGGGACUCAUGGGAGACUGCCGGGGUCAACUCGGAGGAAGGUGGGGACGACGUCAAAUCAUCAUGCCCCUUAUGUCUUGGGCUUCACGCAUGCUACAAUGGCCGGUACAAAGGGUUGCGAUACUGUGAGGUGGAGCUAAUCCCAAAAAGCCGGUCUCAGUUCGGAUUGAGGUCUGCAACUCGACCUCAUGAAGUUGGAGU
rnacentral:rRNA from 1 species